CAUGACUGUAUCUUAAUCGGGGUAUAGCCCUAGUGUCCAAAGACAAUAGGAACCCCUGGAAAACCCCAUAAGUGAUACUUGCUCUUUACAGCAGAAGUCUGUGUCCAGAGGGUCAAGAGGCCCAAAUCGACACAACCUACUUGCCACGUAAGUUCGUAUUCUGACAUUUUUUUUUUUUCUUUUUUUGCUGCAUCUGCAGCCUGUGCCACAGCGGUGACCCAAGCCACUGAAGUGUCAGUGCUGAGUCCUUAACCACUUGGCCACCAGAGAGCUCCUCUGACUUCUUGGUUAUCUUUUUGUUUCCAUUUUGCUCUGCCUACUCCAUAAUCCAAUGUACACAAUAUUGUGACAGAUGAGAUCAUCUGGAAUGAUAUGUAGCUCAACGGCAUUGGCAACAUCCCUGGAGAGGUGGAAUGCAGGUUGGAUCCCCAGCCUGGUACAGUGGAUUAAGGAUCCAGCACUGCAGCAGCUGCAGCUCAGAUCUGAUUCUCCAUAUGCCACAGGGUGGCCAAAAAAGGAAAAAAAAAUUUAAACUCAUCCCUUCCUGAUGGGUCCCCUGCCUUUCGAUGCCAUUCAUGUCGUGAGUUUGUCUGUGUCCGUGUCUGCAUCUGCAUGGGGAAAAUGCUGUGUGCCAGUGGUUACCGUUGCACAACUAUCUCCAAACCCAUCUUCAGUGACAGAAAUCUUGAAAUUGGCCAUGGUGGGAGUUUGACAAAUGCAACAAAUCAGGGCUUGGUUUAUUGUUUGUUGAUGGUCACCCUCAACUUCAGAAAAUGAUGAAUAAAAUGUCUACAAUGCAGAUGGAACUUAAAAUUGUUUUAUAAUAUAAAUCACACAUUUUUCUUCACAGAGCCAGUUGUUAAGCAUUUACCAGCACAACACAGGGUAAACCUCUCUAAUAAAGAGGCUUUGAUUAAUAAAGUGAGGAAGAGAUUGCAGAUGAGAAAGAGCCUUGAAGAUGUCCUGGGGAAGAGUUUUGGAGUCAGGAGAAGCAGAAAGUGCAAGCCGGUGUGGCUAUAACCAAGGAGAAAUACUUGAGAUCAGAGAGGCUGCUGUAGUGGCGAUGGAGAACAGACUGCCAGCGGGAAACAGAAGCAGAAAUAUCAGGGUGGCUGGGUCUUCCACCGCAUGGCUGCUGGAUUCCAAGGGUCAUUAUCUUAAGAGGAAGCAUCUAAAGAGCCAGACAGCAAAUAUUCCAAGAGACGAGGAAGAAGAUUCAAGACUUCUGAUCUAGCGCUUGAAGUCACUCAGUGUUACUGAAACUGAAUUUUAUUGGCCAAGGAAAUCACUAAGACCAACUCGGAAUCAAUGGAUCCCAUCUUUCUAUGAAAGGAGUAUCAAAGAAUUUGCCAUCAUCUUUAAUCCACCAUGAAUACCUUUCCAGCAUUCUUCUGUAAAUCUGCUAUAAUUAAUUCUUCUACCUUUCAUGUGUUACUCGUUCCUACCUAAAUUUGGAAAUUAACAUCCUUUACCAAAGCUUUAGAUUUUAAUGGAAACUCUUCUUUGGUAGUCAAGCCUAGAGGUAUAGAAAAGCUUCUCUAUGUUUUGUUUGUUUCUAACAUUCCAUGUAAUGUUUUGCGAUACCAAAAUCUUCAGAAGCAAUAUUUCUCAUCCACAAUUUGUGACAGAAAUGUUAUUUUUGAGUUAAAAUUUAAUAUAUA